UCGCUUCGUUUCGGUUCGGUUUGUCUUUUGGGGUUCUUCUCGCCUUCGAAAGCGCCGUCCUUCUUCAGUGUUUUCACAUUUUCACGUACAGUUCAAUCGUGAGGUUCAGCCUAGUGAGUUCUGUGUAGUUAAGUCGGAAUAUUUCGUAUAGUUCUCGUCGACUGUCGUCUGACAUUUGUUCUUCUAUUCCGAAACGCUGCAUUGAAAUACAAAAAUAAUACAAACUAGAAUAUUCAACAAAACAAAAAACCAAGGAAACGAAAAACCAAUUAAAAUUUUAACAAAAUAAUAACUCGCUUCAAAAUAUAUUGCAAAUAUAUCAACAAAUUUAAUCAAAUCAAAUUCACCAACAAAUCGAAAACAAACUCUAUUAAUUCGUUUACUCAAAAAUCCAAAAACACAAAACAACCAAAAACCGAUUCAAAUAUAUAACUGUUAAAUCUAAACGAGCAGGCGAUCUACUGGGAAGCGAGAGAGGAAGGGCAUCAGCAGCAGCACUACUACACGCGUGUGUGUUUAAAUACUGGAAAAUACAGAUAAGAUAAAUUAUUAUAGACACUCACGAGUACAUUUAGAGCAGACCAAACCCAGAGACAGACAACCGCAGAGAAUCAAAAGCACUCCAAGAGCAAAUCAAUAAAACAAAAACAAAACCCAAACAACAACAAAAAAAACAACAACAGAAACAACAGAAACAAAGAGAAAAAGCAACUCAAAAAACAAAAUUUUAAAAAAAGUGUUACCAAAAAAAACUUAAAAAAAAAAGAAAAUUAUUUAAAAGACAAAACCCGUACUCGUAACGGUGCAGACAACUGAAAAUACCCAGUGAAAAUUCAGAAAAGCGUUGACCAUUUUUUCUCGCAAAGGCGCCACGUCCAAGAGCAAAUCGUUCCAUAUGGUUCAUAUUAUUGAAUUGGUCGGCCAGCCGAAGGUUGAGUUUGCUCAACAAGUUACUGUAAGUUGCCAUCAUCCAUUAAUACCACCAGCCAUCAAAUUAAUGAACCGUGCUUUACAGCUGAAGCCAGCUGAAAAUGAAAGUCGCAGCGGCUGCGCAUUCGUCAAAUUCGGAACGCAACAGGAGGCUCAGUCAGCAAUAGCCAAUCUACACGGAAGUCAAACUAUGCCGGGUGCAUCCUCCAGCCUGGUCGUCAAAUACGCCGACACAGAGAAGGAACGACAAAUCAGGCGCAUGCAACAAAUGGCCGGUCAUAUGAACCUGCUGAAUCCGUUUGUCUUUAAUCAGUUCAGCCCGUACGGCGCCUACGCUCAGCAACAGCAGCAAGCCGCUCUGAUGGCUGCCGCUGCCACCGCGCCUGGCUCGGCAGCCGCCUACAUGAACCCCAUGGCCGCCCUGGCAACGCAAAUACCUCAUGGCUUGAACGGCACCGGACAGCCGCCCUCUUUGCCCUCGCCGACCAUGCCCAACUUCAGCAUGGGCGCCAACACGCCCAACGGCCAGCCCGGUGGAGCUGCCGCGGCUGCAGCAGCUGCUGCGGCGGACGGGGUCUUCACGAACGGCAUUCCACAAACGGCAUUCCCAGGACAUCCGCUGCAUUUGACUAUACCACCACAAGGUCUGCCAAACGGCGAUGCUGCUACUCUGCAACAUGCCUUCCCUGGGCUGCCACCGUUUCCAGGAGUUGCCUUCCCCGCCGUCUAUGGACAGUUUCCACAAGCUUUACCACCUCCCCUAGCGGCGGUUGCACCCACUCAGCGUGAAGGAUGCUCGAUAUCCGGUCCAGAGGGCUGCAAUCUCUUCAUCUACCAUUUGCCCCAAGAGUUUGGCGAUGCGGAGUUAAUGCAAAUGUUCCUGCCCUUUGGCAAUGUGAUCAGCUCCAAGGUCUUCAUCGAUCGUGCUACAAACCAGAGCAAAUGCUUCGGUUUCGUGUCCUUCGAUAAUCCAGCCAGCGCUCAAGCGGCCAUUCAGGCCAUGAAUGGCUUCCAGAUUGGCAUGAAAAGACUGAAAGUUCAAUUGAAGCGGCCAAAGGAUGCCAGUCGACCCUAUUAACAAUCGGAGUUCCUUAAGUGUAAUUCGCAACAACUACAACUACUUCCUGGAGCACCAACAACAGGAGUAGUCGCAGGAGCAGCCAUGCCACAAACUACAACACAAUUUGCAACAGCAGCAGCAGCAGCAGCAACAGCAUCCACAGCAACAGCAACAGCCACAGCAACAACCACAGUGCACCACUAUAGUCACAGAAGCAGCUUUAGGCCACCAUUUCCCAAUGACAACUCCACUCAUAUGCCGGUAUCAAUUCGCCAGCUGGCGCGAAAUGGUGACCUACUGCUAUCGCUAUAUAGUACCCCGCCAGAAACACUUCCUCCCCAGCCCCAAAAAGCAACCAACAACAGCAACAUCAGCAAGGACAACAACAACAGCACCAACCAACAACAACAGCACCAACAAACACCCACCAGCAGCACCACACCAAACAACAAUAGCAAGCACUGCAGGCAGCAGAAUGGACCGAUUCCCAUCCACAUCCAACUCAACCGGACAUGGCAUCCAAUAGCAACCAGAAGGAACUAUCCAAAGUGGAAUAAGUCGAAAAACUGUUCAAGUGGCAGCAACAAAAGCGAAAGACCUAAAGCCACCAGGACCCCACAAACAGCAACCAUGACAACUGCGACAACAAUAACGAGCGACUACUGAAAGGAUGGUCUUCACCAUGCUAAGUGAAAUGAUUAUAAAAAUUAAACACAUGCAAAAUCGGUGUGUAAAAAAACCUAAAAUAAUAGUAAACAACCAAA
rnacentral:misc_RNA from 1 species